AUGAUGAAGAGAUUUUUGAGGGGCUCUUCUAGCCAAAGCUCCAAGGACAAACAUGCUAAGGACAAAGAAAAGACCAAGUAUAAUCUUCCUCGCGUAGCAGAAGAAAGGCCAGGUGAAUGGCCUUGUGAUGAAUUCUUGAGAGCAGCCGGGAUUUAUGAAGACUUUUAUUCAUUGGCUGAUAAUGCGGGCCUCACCGACUUCCUCCACGAUCGGAUCGAACAGUAUCUCUUACUCACCAAUACUUUCGUGCAAAAGUUCUACUAUUAUCCUAAGAAUUCACCUCCUUCAGUAGCUUUUCAUUUAUAUGAUGAGGCUAGGGAGAUGUCAUUAUGUAAUUUUUGCGCGGUUUGCAGAAUACCCUUCGACUGUAGGUUUGAUGAACAACAUCGUAAAGAUGUGGAUGGUUUUAUUGAUACUAUUACUGUAGGGGAAUCGAGGAAGGUUUCCAAUGCAAGAAUAACUAGCAUACAUUUUCUUGUUUUAUGCUACUUUGCCAUAUUUGCUAUUCGAUGCUUAAUUGGUCGCAGAAACUGUGGAAACCUUAGUGUUCCUGAUAUUAUUAUUUUGUUCCAUGCUUUAUCCCGCGAUAACUCUUUUAUUAUGGGUGCCGUCAUUACUAAACGAUUAAUCCUGAACCGUACAAAGGGCCCCAUCUUUGGAGGUAUGUAUGUUGCACGCCUUGCUAGACACUUCGAGAUACCUAUUAGGCAUUAUGAGAAAGAGGAGACACUGCUGCCCCUACCUUCUUAG
rnacentral:rRNA from 1 species